GCCUGACGGAGUCGACGCCGCGUGGGGGACGUAAGGCCUUCGGGGUCGUAAAACCCCUGUCAGAGGGAAACGAAGGGUACCGGCGUGAACAGCGCCGGUACUUGACGGUACCCUCAGAGGAAAGUCCACGGCCAACUCCGUAGCCAGCAGCCGCGGUAAUACGGAGGUGGCAAGCGUUGCUCGGAAUCACUGGGCGUAAAGGGCGCGUAGGCGGGGAGGUAAGUCGGGUGUGAAAUCCCUCGGCCCAACCGAGGAACUGCGCCCGAGACUGCUUCUCUUGAGUCCCGGAGAGGAAGGUGGAAUUCCCGGUGUAGCGGUGAAAUGUGUAGAGAUCGGGAGGAACACCGGUGGCGAAGGCGGCCUUCUGGACGGUGACUGACGCUGAGGCGCGAAAGCGUGGGGAGCAAACGGGAUUAGAUACCCCGGUAGUCCACGCUGUAAACGAUGGGUGCUAGGUGUGGGGGGUAUCGACCCCUCCCGUGCCGAAGCUAACGCAUUAAGCAACCCCGCCUGGGGAGUACGGCCGUCAAGGUUG
rnacentral:rRNA from 1 species